rnacentral:rRNA from 1 species
GACAGAGGGGGCAAGCGUUGCUCGGAAUCACUGGGCGUAAAGGGCGCGUAGGCGGGAUGGCAAGUCGGUCGUGAAAUCCUUCGGCUCAACCGAAGAACGUCGGCCGAUACUGCCGUUCUUGAGGGAUGCAGAGGAGAUUGGAAUUCCCGGUGUAGCGGUGAAAUGCGUUGAUAUCAUCAGGAACACCGGUGGCGAAAGCGGCUUACUGGGUCUCUUCUGACGCUGAGGUACGAAAGCUAGGGGAGCGAACGGG